AUUACAGAUCGAACUAUCGCUGUUCUGUUCACAGAGCAGAGGAAAGUCCGGACAGCAUAGAGCAGCGCGCCGGUUAACGGCCGGGUCCCGUUUACGGGAACAGAUAGCGCCACAGAAAAUUACAGCCUUCAUCCGUCGUUGUUCAUAUCUCCGCGUUAUGGACGAGGGCGGACCAGUCCUUGUAAGAAGGUAUGGCGGUUUUUAGGAAGAGGGGGAUUUCUUUAGGGAUAUUCCUGUCGAUCCUGGGAUCGUUUAACUAUCUACGGGGAGGGUGAUGGUGAAAAUGUGAGGUAAGAGCUCACAGCGCUGUGCAGUAAUGUACAGCGGGGGCAAGCCUCGCGCGCUGAAAUGCCAUGUAUGCCAGUCUUUGAGGGCUGCUCGCCCGAUCCUCCGGGAAGAUUGGCGGGUAGGCAGAUAGAUCCCGUUAGUAAUGGCGGGGCCAGAUAAAUGAUAGUUUAGAAACAGAAUCCGGCUUACGAGUUUGUAAUUUUU
rnacentral:RNase_P_RNA from 1 species